UACGUAGGGUGCAAGCGUUAAUCGGAAUUACUGGGCGUAAAGCGUGCGCAGGCGGUGAUGUAAGACAGAUGUGAAAUCCCAGGGCUCAACCUUGGAACUGCAUUUGUGACUGCAUCGCUGGAGUGCGGCAGAGGGGGAUGGAAUUCCGCGUGUAGCAGUGAAAUGCGUAGAUAUGCGGAGGAACACCGAUGGCGAAGGCAAUCCCCUGGGCCUGCACUGACGCUCAUGCACGAAAGCGUGGGGAUCAAACAGG
rnacentral:rRNA from 1 species